rnacentral:tRNA from 1 species
GGGCAUUUGGUCUAGUAGUAUGAUUCUCGCUUAGGGUGCGAGAGGUCCCGAGUUCGAUUCUCAAAUGCCCC